rnacentral:rRNA from 1 species
AGUGAACGCUGGCGGUAGGCCUAACACAUGCAAGCCGAACGGCAGCACAGGAGAGCUUGCUCUCUGGGUGGCGAGUGGCGGACGGGUGAGGAAUACAUCGGAAUCUACUUUUUCGUGGGGGAUAACGUAGGGAAACUUACGCUAAUACCGCAUACGACCUACGGGUGAAAGCAGGGGACCUUCGGGCCUUGCGCGAUUGAAUGAGCCGAUGUCGGAUUAGCUAGUUGGCGGGGUAAAGGCCCACCAAGGCGACGAUCCGUAGCUGGUCUGAGGGGAUGAUCAGCCACACUGGAACUGAGACACGGUCAGGACUCCUACGGGAGGCAGCAGUGGGGAAUAUUGGACACUGGGCGCAAGCCUGAUCCAGCCAUACCGCGUGGGUGAAGAAGGCCUUCGGGUUGUAAAGCCCUUUUGUUGGGAAAGAAAUCCAGCUGGCUAAUACCCGGUUGGGAUGACGGUACCCAAAGAAUAAGCACCGGCUAACUUCGUGCCAGCAGCCGCAGUAA